rnacentral:lncRNA from 1 species
ACACAUCAAAGUUUGGGGGUAGCGCAGACACCACCUUAAAAUAAUUAAUUUAUUUUUUAUUUGAAUUUCAGAAUUCUCUGUCAAUGAUUGCAGUGACGGGUCUUUCCCAUUUCUUUAUAUUAUCUAAGAAAGAUUUGAAUUUUUGAAUCCAAAUAUCAGACUGUAACCAUAAAUGAGAUAAACAAUAAGCAUGCUUAAAGACAAAACCAGUGUGUAAACGGUCAACAAAUUAAGAGAAACUUUUUUUUAAACUCUUACUGAAUCACACACACAAGUAUUUGCAGAUGGAUGUAUGGUGCAUUAUCUAGUUUAAUAGACUCUCCAUUUCCACUCCUAGAAAUGAGAAAAGUUUUGUUACUUUUGGAAUGAUCGGACGGGGAGAUGUGUAUAUGAAAUAGGGGGUAACAGAAUAUGAAAUUAGUAUGCAUGGGAAAAUGGAAUAAGGUAAUUAAAUUUUAUGCACCCUUGCAACGUCCACUGCCCAUGCAACUCGCAUGCUCACGUCGCUGAUUAGUGCUUGUAGCAGUAGGAUGUGUUGGAGGAGGGUGGCCACCGCAUCCCCAGCCCCAGGGCCCCCAACAGCCUCCCUGGCCGCCGCCGCCUCCUCCUCCUCCUCCGCCCCCACCACCUCCUCCACCUCCACCGCCCCCGCCACCUCCACCUCCACCUCCCCCGCCACCACCACCACCCCUGCCCCCUCCCCAUCCAUAACCUUUCCCAUUUCCUCCUCCACCACCACCACCACCACCGCCGCCGCCGCCGCCACCUCCUCCUCCUCCCCCUCCACCCCCACCCCCACCCCUACCACCUCCACCUCCUUUUUUACCACCAUUUCCUCUUUCCCGUCUUCCUUUGUACCUUUUACCUUUUCCUUUGUCACCAGCGCCCCCACCUCCACCUCCACCUCCACUAUUUGCACCCCCACCCCCACCGCCGCCGCCACUUCCACCACCACCACCUCCUCCUUUACCACCAUGGUUCAUAUUACUAUUCGUUGCAACUUCCUUAGACGAAGUUGUAUUACUUCCUUGCCCAUCUCCAACAAAUUUGUGGUUUUGGUGCGAAAGGUUAGGAAUGGAAGUAGUGUUGAAGUGAGUGACGCCAUGUUCAUCACCUUUCAGUCCAUCAACCAAAGGUGAGCUGAACGCUAUUGCGAGAACCAGCACAAGCCCAAACCCUCUGGCAAUCUCCAUCUUCUGAUGCAAAUUGACAAUGCAAAAAACACACUCACCUCGCUCCCUUUAUACUCUUUCAUUUGAUUUGAAUGGCCAUUGACAGCUGGACCCAGUCCCCACUACAAGUCUAGAACAAAUUCAAAGUUUCCCAAAGGCUGCAAGACGGAGGCUGAAAGAUAGGAAAGU